AAUGGGUCUGGACUUCCGGCGCCCUCUGGUGGCGGCCAUUUUGAUUGGUGUUGGGUUUAUUUGUCGGAGAGGCUCCUGAGCGCUAGGUCGGCACUGCGGUGACUGAACCCAGAAGGCGGAGAGCAGUUGUCCUCCGCUGCCCAGAGGCUACUCUGGAGCUCUGUGACGGCGCCCAGCGUGACCCACUCCUGGGCCAGGAGAGGGACUGUCGUGCCCAUAUCUCCUGGCUGGUCGCCCUCUCCUCCCGACCCUGCUUAAAACCACGUGGUUCGAUGGCUGCGGCGGCUACGCUGAGGCUCUCCGCUCAGGGCACAGUGACUUUUGAAGACGUGGCUGUGAACUUUACCUGGGAGGAAUGGAAUCUCCUUAGUGAGGCUCAGAGAUGCCUGUACCGUGAUGUGACCCUGGAGAACCUGGCACUUAUAUCCUCCCUGGAGAUGGGGUUUCACCAUGUUGGCCAGGCUGGUCUCGAACUCCUGACCUUGUGAUCUGCUGGCCUCAGCCUCCCAAAGUGCUUGGAUUACAGGGAUGAGGUUUCUCCAUGUCUGUCAGGCCUUGGUGUCUCUACCU
rnacentral:sRNA from 1 species